rnacentral:piRNA from 1 species
CACGAUGACAGUGGGGUGUCUGCGGACA